AAAGACAUGGGUGAAAGAUUAUGACUUUUUGAACAGAAAACACAAGAAAGUCAUGGAAAGAAGCAACAAGAUGAUUCCGAUGAAUAUGAUGAUGACAAUUCUGCAGCCUCAACUUUAUUUCAACCACAACCUGUUCAACAUCAACAAGAUUAUAUUCCCCCAGUGGUGCAGCCAGGACUGUCACCAGUACCAGGAGCACCAGGAAUGCCUCCAGGCAUACCUCCACUAAUGCCAGGUAAUCCUCCUCUGAUGCCAGGAAUGCCACUAGUUAUGCCAGGCAUGCCACCUGGAUUGCAUCAUCAGAGAAAAUGCACCCAGUCACUUUGCAGUGAAAACAUAAUGAUGGGUGGAAUAUGCCACCUGGGCGAGGAAUACCAUCUCUGAUGCCUAGAAUGCCACCAGGUAUUCCCCCCACCCCCAUUCCACAUUCUGGAAUUCCUCCAGUCACCCAAGCACAGACUGUUUCCGUGCCAGGUAUUAAUAGACCACCUGCACCAACAGCAACUGUACCUGCUCCACAGCCUCCAGUUACUAAGCCUCUUUCUCCCAGUGCUGGACAGGCUCAGGCAGCUGUCCAAGGACCUGUUGGGACAGAUUUCAAACCCUUAAAUAGUACCACUGCAACAACUACAGAACCCCUACAUUCCCUACGUAUACAUAGUCUACAGAUUCAACCACUAGUACAACAAAUAGUACUGCAGCUAAACCAGCAGCUUCAAUAACAAGUAAGCCUGCUACACUUAGAAUAACCAAUGCACACAGUAAGUUGAUCAAUCCAGAUGAAGCUAUAUACCUGGAAGAGAGAAGGGCACAGUUACCGCGAUAUCAGUGUAAUCUUCCUCAGCAAGGACAGGUCCCCAUAGGUAAUCUACCAGUUGGACCAAUUGGAGGUAUGAUGCCACCAUAGCCAGGCAUCCCACAGCAACAAGGAAUGAGACCCUCCGUGCCACCUCGUGGUCAGUAUAGUGGUCAUCAUCAAGGCAUGCCAGGAUACCUUCCUGGUGCUAUGCCCCUGUAUGAACAGGGACCGCCAAUGAUGCCCCCUUUCCAGGGUGGACCUUCUAGAUCUCUGAUAGGAAUGAGACCUCCUGUAACAUUGCAAGGUGGCCGUUACCGAUCUUACCUCACCCAGUCUAAUAGGUUUGGAGAUAAAACCUUUUCUCAAGUUGUGCUAUUUAUAUAG